UACGUAGGGGGCAAGCGUUGUCCGGAUUUAUUGGGCGUAAAGAGCGUGUAGGCGGUUUGGUAGGUCCGCUGUGAAAACUCGAGGCUCAACCUCGAGACGUCGGCGGAAACCAUCUGGCUAGAGUCCGGAAGAGGAGAGUGGAAUUCCUGGUGUAGCGGUGAAAUGCGCAGAUAUCAGGAAGAACACCCGUGGCGAAGGCGGCUCUCUGGGACGGUACUGACGCUGAGACGCGAAAGCGUGGGGAGCGAACAGG
rnacentral:rRNA from 1 species